CUGAGCCAAGCGCGGGAUGCGGCGGAGGCCAGGGCCACCCAGCUAGCUACAGCCUGUGAGGAGGCACGGCGGGGCCUGGCAGAGCUACGCGAGGCCUCAGAGGCCCUGCGUCAGUCCUCGGUGCCCGUGUCCGAGCAUCACAGGCUGCAGGAAGAGGCCCUGGAGCUGAGGGCCCAGGCGGCCAGUCUGGAGCAGGAGGUGGUGGCUACGGGCAAGGAGGCUGCUCGGCUGAGGGCAGAGCUGGAACAGGAGCGUGUGGGCAGCGUGGCACUCUCAGAGCAUGAACGGGUGGUGGGUGCGCUUCGGGCCAACGUGGCCCGGCUGGAGGGGCAGUUGGAGGAGCUGGCCCGCCGGCACGAGAAGACCAGCGCCGAGGUCUUCCAGGUGGACAUUUGACCCUGCAGCUAUCCUGGAAUUUCAACAUUCAUUUUCUUCUUCUUCUUUUUUGGGGGUACUGGGAAUGGAACUCAGGACCUUGUGCUUGCCAGGCAGGCUGCUGAGCUACAUCCACAGCCCAUCAUCUUUCAUUUUCUUUCUUUCUUCUUCCUUUUAUUUUUUAAACACCUUGUCACCAUUUUGACCUUAUUUUGUUUAUUUGUUUGUUUUUUCAGUAAUUCUCUUUUUAUUUUCAGUACCAGGGAUCCAACUCAGGAUCUUGUGCUUGCGAGGCAAGUACAGUGCCAGUGAGCUAAAUCCCUGGCCCUAUUUGUUUGUUUUUUAAAACAGGGUCUCAUUUGUACCUCAGGCUGGCCUUGAACCCACUAUGUACCCCAAAUUGGCCUUGAACUCAUGCCUAGCUUCCUGCCUCAGCCUCCUAAGUGCUGGGAUUACAGGCAUGGGUCACUACACCUGGAUUGACCUCAUUUUUUUUUAAUGGCUACUACUUUUGAGGAGUCUGAUUAUAAAACUUUUGUCUUUCUCAAGGUCAUAAAGAUGUUCACCAAUGUUUUCUUCUAGCAUCUUUAUUAUUUUCUUUUCGCCAUGAUAUCUAUGAGUUAUUUCUAAUCUCUGCUUGCUUUUAGUGGAGAUGUGAACAUGUCUAAUCUGUGUGUAUGGUGUGAGGUAGGAUUGAUGAUUACAAUUUUUUUGGUAAGCAGUGAAUUGGAUCUCCCUCCAUGUAUUUGCAUAAUAUCCACUUUCUUUGGGCCAGGGAUGUUAGCUCAGUGGCACCAUGCCUGCCUGGCAAGCACAAGGUCCUGAGUUCAAAUCCUGGUACCAGAAAAAAAAAAGAACCUAAUAUCCACUUUCGUUUUUUGUUUGUUUGUUACCGAGGAUCGAACUUGGGAACUUGCCCUUGUGAGGCAGGCAGUGGAACCACUGAGCUAAAUCCCAGGCCCAUAAUAUCCACUUUCUUAAGUGAUCUUUUUUUUUUUAAUUGUUAAACAAAGCAAGGAAAAGUUUAUUCUUUAGUUGGCCUGCUUGUGCAUUUAACACAAUACAAUGCACAAAAUAUUAUAUAUACAUAACACUACAAGGAAGCAUUAAAUUAGAAAUGGAUUAUUUUUUGCAAGUCCAAUUGGUAUGAAAGUCAACAUGCAAAUAAAUUUCAAUAAAGAAACAAGAAGCAUUAGGGGGAGAGGAAGGUAAAUAACUCAACAGCAUGGGGGGCCUAUGGGACUAUCACCCUAGAGAGGAGGAAACCUACAGAAGAUGCUGAUCUGCCAGGUCCCCGCUGUGCUACAGUGGCACCAGAGACUGCUUUAAUCCAACUGUGCAUCUCUUCGGGGCCAUCAGCCUGCACAUAGAAAGUUCGAGAUGUUGUUACAAUUUCAAACAGGUUGUCCCUCAUCAUUAUGUCACUUUGCUUACACUCCUGGAUUUUAUGAACUUCUUUAAGUGGUAUUACAUGGAGAGGUUCCUUUUCCAGUUCCGAUUUGAAGUAGCCCUAUUGUGUUUUCAUCCAAUUGAAAAUAUCUUCUCUUCCAGUUUUUCAUCACUGCUCCUUGUUUUACACAAUAUCCAGCUUUGAUAACUGGACUGUCUGGAGGCGGUUUAGGAGUAAAGUAAGGAAGAUGGCUUUGUGACCGUUUCAAAUUAUUUUUGUCAGCACUUUCACUACAUUCAUUUAUUUCUUCUUUCUGAGUUGGAGUAAUGAUGGGUACACCACCAACGAUAUCAAUUCUGUAAGACACUUGUUUCUUCCCACAUUCACCUUGGCGAUUUAGGUUAUCAGAAUUAGGCUGUGAGUCUGACUGCUUUGGUACUGUAAUUUGAAUAGCUUUGUUCAAGACAUUCAUCCAUUCCACUAAGUCUUGCUGAUCGUUGGCUUGAAGGAAGUAUUUCCUCAUUCCUGCAUUCAUAACAAAACAGAACUCAGCUUUUGGCCUUAGCUUAGUUGCAUCGCUAACCUUUGAAAUGUAGGUAAGUUUAAUAGCUCCAACACAUGAUGAUCCAGAAGGUAGGUUCUGUGGAUUAUCCAUGUACCACACAAAACUAUCUUCUCUGGUAUCCAGUAUGAAGUACCAUCGAAGAAAUUUCCCACUGUUUUCAUUUUCUUCAAUAUCUAGAAAACCACAAAUGCGAUUCUGAUGAGCCACAUAAGGCAUUUCUGGGCUUGAACAUUACAGCUACUUUGCUGUGGACUCGGUCUGGAGCACCUGCGCCACCACAGCCCCGGCUCCCACAGGCUCUCAGCUGCUGGUAGCGGCGCCCAAGAUGGCCCGGCUGCACAUUCUUUAGUGAUCAUUUUGACCCUGUGUUUUGUUCCAUCUGGCUGUUUCCAGCUACUUAGGAAACUGAGGCAGUUGGAUCAUGAGUUAAGGCCCAGCCUGCACAAUUUAGUGACUUAGUGAGACCUUGUUUCAAAAUUUAAAAUAAAAAGGGUUGGGAAUGUAGCUUAGUGCAAAGGCCCUGGGUUCAACUCCCAAUGAUAUGAGGGACUAAUUCUCAACCUGCUAUAUGUCAGAUACGCCCAGUUUGUGUUCCACAAAGUCAAAUAAUGAAUUCUUUUUUUUUCCCAUUAAGUUUAUUGGUACAUAUUAGGUAUAAAAUACAUUUACAUACAUCAUUGGGAUCUUGUACCAUUACAUGAGUAUCUUGGUUCUUAUUUUUUUUCCCCUUCCCCUUCCUCCCUUCACCCCUUGCACCCUUCCCUAUUUGAAAGANNNNNNNNNNNNNNNNNNNNNNNNNNNNNNNNNNNNNNNNNNNNNNNNNNNNNNNNNNNNNNNNNNNNNNNNNNNNNNNNNNNNNNNNNNNNNNNNNNNNNNNNNNNNNNNNNNNNNNNNNNNNNNNNNNNNAAAUUACAAUAUCAAGAUCUAGGAGACAUUACCACAGAUUUUACAGAAUUUAAAAGGAUAUAGAAAGCAUAUUACAAAAAUCGUUUUUGAAAUAAAUUUGACAACUUCUAAGAAGUACCUUGGAAGACAAAUUAAUGAAACUAACUAUGGAGGAAAUAAAAAAUUUGAAUAGCGCCUAUUAAAGAAGGUAUAUUCCUGGGGCCAGGGAUUUAGCUCGGUGGUUUCACUGCCUGCUGCACAAGCACAAGGACUGGAAUUUGAUCCCUGGUACCAAAAAAAAAAAAAAAAAAGAAAGAAAGUAUAGUCCUAGCAACAACAGGCUCAUAAUCGGGGAUUUCGGGGGUUAUUUUUUGGUACUGGGGAUCGAAUUUGGGACAUGGUGCUUGCAAGGCAGGCGCCAGAACCACUGAGCUAAAUCCCUGGCCCUCAUAUAUGUUUCUUUUCUUUUCUUUUUUUUCCCCAUUAAGUUUAUUGGUACA
rnacentral:lncRNA from 1 species